UGCCUGCAUAAAAAAAGAUAAAAAGGCAAAUUAUUCAAGACUUCAAAUGACAAGAUCCUAUAUUUGAUCACACUAGGAAGACAUCUCAAAAUUCCCACAAGGGAUGGCCAUGAGAAAUUAUCCAAUACUCAGUUGUAUGUACUAAAAAUCUCUCCUCUCACACUUGCAUAUGCAGAAUAGAUCUCAUAUAAAGGUCAGAAGACAAACGCUGAGCCAGAAGGCUGCUAGCAGUGUUCAUAUAGUCCAAUGAAACCUCAUUUUAAAAUAAAACGAUUCCUUCUCACAUGGAUACCUCACUGACACAAUUUGCCUUUACAAACAGUAAAUGAUAGAUAUAUCCAAAGGGUCUAUAAUUACUGUGUGAAUACUGAGAAUAAGAAACAACAUCUAUGUAAGAACUUGCCACAGCCGUGAUGAUUAACACAUCUCAAGCAUCUUUGAUUAGCAUUUGACUAAGAGCAAAGGAAUCCUCUUACAAAA